rnacentral:rRNA from 1 species
UACGGGGGGUGCGAGCGUUGUCCGGAAUCACUGGGCGUAAAGGGCGCGUAGGUGGUCUGAUAAGGGUGUGGUGAAAGUCCGGGGCUCAACCCCGGAUCUGCCGUGCCGACUGUCAGACUCGAGGACUGUAGAGGCAGGCGGAAUUCCGGGUGUAGCGGUGGAAUGCGUAGAGAUCCGGAGGAAGACCGGUGGCGAAGGCGGCCUGCU